rnacentral:rRNA from 1 species
UACGGAGGGGACUAGCGUUGUUCGGAAUUACUGGGCGUAAAGCGCACGUAGGCGGCUUCUUAAGUCAGGGGUGAAAUCCUGGAGCUCAACUCCAGAACUGCCUUUGAUACUGAGGAGCUUGAGUCCGGGAGAGGUGAGUGGAACUGCGAGUGUAGAGGUGAAAUUCGUAGAUAUUCGCAAGAACACCAGUGGCGAAGGCGGCUCACUGGCCCGGUACUGACGCUGAGGUGCGAAAGCGUGGGGAGCAAACAGG